rnacentral:lncRNA from 1 species
GCCGUGCGUAACGUGCAUUCUGGCGGUGCCGGGAGCGGGGCGAGGAGGAGGGUGGGUAUGAGGCGGUAGCGGACCGCGGAGUCGAGACCUACCCGAACGACGCGGGCGAGCGGGGCUUUGGACGCCGGUGGAGACGCAGGCGAGAUGGAGCCUCGCUCUGUCGCCAAGACUGGAGUUCAGCGGCACGAUCUCGGCUCACUGCAAGCUCCACCUCCGAGGUUCACGCCAUUCUCCUGCCUCAGCCUCCCAAGUAGCUGGGACUACAGGCGCCUGCCACCAUGCCCGGCUAAUUUUUUUUUGUAUUUUUAGUAGAGGCGGGUUUCACCGUGUUAGCCAGGAUGUUCUCUAUCUCCUGACCUCGUGAUCUGCCCGCCUUGACCUCCCAAAGUGCUGGGACUACAGGCGUGAGCCACCGCGCCCGGCCUCGUGUGAUUUUUAACAAAACUUUAAAAUUUGGAAUAAUCAAUAACUUCAAAUCCAUAGGAAGCUAUAAAUAUAGUACAGAGAAGUCCUGUGUAUUCUUCUAGUUUGCUUAAUGGUUACAUCUUACAUAACUAUAAUAUAAUGUGAAACCAGGAAAUUGAUAUUUGUGCAAUGUGUGUGUAUAGUGUCAUGCACAUUUUAUCUCAUAUGUAGAUUCC